UACGUAGGGUGCAAGCGUUUGUCCGGAAUUAUUGGGCGUAAAGAGCUCGUAGGCGGUUUGUCGCGUCUGCUGUGAAACGCGGGGCUCAACUGGGCGGGGUCAGCGGAUACGGCGGAGCUUGAGCAAGCUAGGGGGCAAUGGAAUUCCCGGUGUAGUGGUGGAAUGCGUAGAUAUCGGGAGGAACACCAGUGGCGAAGGCGGUUGCCUGGGGCUUUGCUGACGCUGAUGCGCGAAAGCGUGGGGAGCGAGUCCGG
rnacentral:rRNA from 1 species